AUUGAACGCUGGCGGCAGGCCUAACACAUGCAAGUCGAAAGAGUGGCGGACGGGUGAGUACUGUCUGGGAAACUGCCUGAUGGCGGGGGAUACCUGCUGGAAACGGUAGCUAAUACCGCAUACCUUCGUAUGUGCCCCGAUGGGAUUAGCUAGUAGGUGGGGUAAAGUCUCACCUAGGCGACGAUCCCUAGCUGGUCUGAGAGGAUGACGAGUCAAACUGGAAGUGAGAACCGGUACAGACUCCUACGGGAGGGAGCAGUGGGGAAUAUUGCACAAGGGCCUGUGGCCUGAUGACUCCAUGCCGCGUGUAGGAAGAAGGCCUUCGGGUUUGAAAGUACUUUCAGCGGGGAGGCGUUACCCGAAGAAGAAGCACAGGCUAACUCCGGGCCAGCAGCCGCGGUAAUUC
rnacentral:rRNA from 1 species